GAAAGCUUUCUGCAAACGUGAUUGGCUGAUGCAGGACAAAGUGAUAUAACUGCUAAACCAAGUUACUACCAAAACACUCAAUUUCAGGAGGUCAAACUUUGACACGGAAUAAGGUCAACUAUGGAAUGUAUAGACUGGGAUGGAUUGUUCUCUGGAUUAGACACAGAGGUCAAAUGGAAUACCUUUAAGCAUGCAUUACAAAAUUACACAUCCCAAUAUAUAUCUACAGGAAACAAAUACAAAGGAAGCAAAUCAAAACCGAUGUGUCUUACCAGGAAAGUAAAACAGGAAAUAAACAAAUGGCAUUUAAGCAUUAUAAAAGCGAGGGAUCGGUAGUAUCAUUUAUGGCAUACAAAGAUGCCAACAAAGUCUGCAAAAAGGAGGAGUUGGACUGUGCAUGCAAGUGGCAGGUGAGGUUCAACAUAGAUAAAUGCAAAGUUAUGCAUUAUGGUAAAAAUAAUAAAAA